AUACAUAACAGAAUAUUUUCCAAAUGCAAUGAUACAGAGAAAAUUAGCAUGGCUCCUAUACAAGGAUGACAUGCAAAUUCAUGAAGUGUUCCAUAUUUUU
rfam:Canis lupus familiaris chromosome 16, whole genome shotgun sequence.